AGAGAGUGCAAGCGUUAAUCGGAAUUACUGGGCGUAAAGCGCGCGUAGGUGGAUACUUCAGUCGGAUGUGAAAGCCCUGGGCUUAACCUAGGAACUGCAUUCGAUACUGGGUAACUCGAGUAUGGUAGAGGGAAGUGGAAUUUCCGGUGUAGCGGUGAAAUGCGUAGAUAUCGGAAGGAACACCAGUGGCGAAGGCGACUUCCUGGACCAAUACUGACACUGAGGCGCGAAAGCGUGGGGAGCAAACAGGGAUUAGAGACCCUGGUAGUCCACGCUGUCAACGAUGAGAACUAGACGUUGGAGGGGUAACCUUUCAGUGUCGAAGCUAACGCGUUAAGUUCUCCGCCUGGGGAGUACGGCCGCAAGGUUA
rnacentral:rRNA from 1 species